GUGCCUAACACAUGCAAGUCGAGCGAGAAAAGGGGGGCACUCCCUGAGUACAGCGGCGCACGGGUGAGUAACACGUGGGUAAUCUGCCCUGGAGUGGGGAAUAACACCGGGAAACCGGUGCUAAUACCGCAUACGAUCACGAGGUCUGCGGAUUUUGUGAUGAAAGGAGCAAUUCGCUCCAGGAGGAGCCCGCGGCUGAUUAGCUAGUUGGUGAGGUAAUGGCUCACCAAGGCUACGAUCAGUAUCCGGUCUGAGAGGACGGUCGGACACACUGGAACUGAGACACGGUCCAG
rnacentral:rRNA from 1 species